CAGAGGUCCCAAGCGUUGUUCGGAUUUACUGGGCGUAAAGGGUGCGUAGGCGGUUGUUUAAGUCUGACGUGAAAUCUCCGGGCCUAACCCGGAAACUGCGUUGGAUACUAUUCAACUAGAGGAAUGGAGGGGAGACUGGAAUACUUGGUGUAGCAGUGAAAUGCGUAGAUAUCAAGUGGAACACCAGUGGCGAAGGCGAGUCUCUGGACAUUUCCUGACGCUGAGGCACGAAAGCCAGGGGAGCAAACGGGAUUAGAUACCCCGGUAGUCCUGGCCCUAAACGGUGCGCGUUUGCUGUAAGUGGAAUCGACCCCACUUGUGGCGUAGUUAACACGUUAAACGCGCCGCCUGGGAAGUACGGCCGCAAGGUUA
rnacentral:rRNA from 1 species